GGACUACACGGGUAUCUAAUCCUGUUUGCUACCCACGCUUUCGUGCCUCAGCGUCAGUUCUAUGCCAGGUGGCUGCCUUCGCCAUCGGUAUUCCUCCAAAUCUCUACGCAUUUCACUGCUACACUUGGAAUUCUACCACCCUCUCACAAACUCCAGAUCUACAGUCUUAAAUGCCAUGCCCAAGUUAAGCUCGGGGAUUUCACAUCUAACUUAUAGAUCCGCCUACGCACUCUUUACGCCCAGUAAUUCCGAUUAACGCUCGCACCCUACGUAUUACCGCGGCGGCUGGCAC
rnacentral:rRNA from 1 species